rnacentral:rRNA from 1 species
AACGAACGCUGGCGGCAUGCCUAACACAUGCAAGUCGAACGAGACCUUCGGGUCUAGUGGCGCACGGGUGCGUAACGCGUGGGAACCUGCCCUUAGGUUCGGAAUAACUCCCCGAAAGGGGUGCUAAUACCGGAUAAUGUCUUCGGACCAAAGAUUUAUCGCCUUUGGGUGGGCCCGCGUUGGAUUAGCUGGUUGGUAGGGUAAAAGCAUACCAAGGCGACGAUCCAUAGCUGGUGGGAGAGGAUGAUCCGCCACACUGGAACUGCGACACGGACCAGACUCCUACGGGAGGCAGCAGUGGGGAAUAUUGGACAAUGGGCGAAAGCCUGAUCCAGCAAUGCCGGGUGAGUGAUGAAGGCCUUAGGGUUGUAAAGCUCUUUUACCCGGGAUGAUAAUGACAGUACCGGGAGAAUAAGCUCCGGCUAACUCCGUG